AGCCCCGUAGUCUAGUGGUUAAGGGAGCACAGCCCAUAACUUAUGGUUGUUGGUUCUCGCCAAAAGGAUUGCGCGCUCUGGACGCGCAGACCAGAGUUCGAAUCUCUGCGGGGCUA
rnacentral:tRNA from 1 species